rnacentral:rRNA from 1 species
CGUGAGUAACCUGCCCCUGACUCUGGGAUAAGCCCGGGAAACUGGGUCUAAUACCGGAUAUGACUUUUGACCGCAUGGUUGAGGGUGGAAAGAUUUAUCGGUUGGGGAUGGACUCGCGGCCUAUCAGCUUGUUGGUGAGGUAAUGGCUCACCAAGGCGACGACGGGUAGCCGGCCUGAGAGGGUGACCGGCCACACUGGGACUGAGACACGGCCCAGACUCCUACGGGAGGCAGCAGUGGGGAAUAUUGCACAAUGGGCGCAAGCCUGAUGCAGCGACGCCGCGUGAGGGAUGACGGCCUUCGGGUUGUAAACCUCUUUCAGUAGGGAAGAAGCGAAAGUGACGGUACCUGCAGAAGAAGCGCCGGCUAACUACGUGCCAGCAGCCGCGGUAAUACGUAGGGCGCAAGCGUUAUCCGGAUUUAUUGGGCGUAAAGAGCUCGUAGGCGGUUUGUCGCGUCUAUCGUGAAAGUCCGAGGCUCAACCUCGGAUCUGCGGUGGGUACGGGCAGACUAGAGUGAUGUAGGGGAGACUGGAAUUCCUGGUGUAGCGGUGAAAUGCGCAGAUAUCAGGAGGAACACCGAUGGCGAAGGCAGGUCUCUGGGCAUUUACUGACGCUGAGGAGCGAAAGCAUGGGGAGCGAACAGGAUUAGAUACCCUGGUAGUCCAUGCCGUAAACGUUGGACACUAGGUGUGGGGGACAUUCCACGUUUUCCGCGCCGUAGCUAACGCAUUAAGUGCCCCGCCUGGGGAGUACGGCCGCAAGGCUAAAACUCAAAGGAAUUGACGGGGGCCCGCACAAGCGGCGGAGCAUGCGGAUUAAUUCGAUGCAACGCGAAGAACCUUACCAAGGCUUGACAUGUUCCAGAUCGCCUCAGAGAUGGGGUUUCCCUUCCGGGCUGGUUCACAGNNNNNGNNNNUGGUGCAUGGUUGUCGUCAGCUCGUGUCGUGAGAUGUUGGGUUAAGUCCCGCAACGAGCGCAACCCUCGUUCCAUGUUGCCAGCGGGUUAUGCCGGGGACUCAUGGGAGACUGCCGGGGUCAACUCGGAGGAAGGUGGGGAUGACGUCAAAUCAUCAUGCCCCUUAUGUCUUGGGCUUCACGCAUGCUACAAUGGCCGGUACAAUGGGUUGCGAUACUGUGAGGUGGAGCUAAUCCCUAAAAGCCGGUCUCAGUUCGGAUUGGGGUCUGCAACUCGACCCCAUGAAGUCNNNNNNNCUAGUAAUCGCAGAUCAGCAACGCUGCGGUGAAUANNNNNNNGGGCCUUGUACACACCGCCCGUCAAGACGGGAAAGUUGGUAACACCCGAAGCCGAUGGCCUAACCACC